UACGUAGGGUGCGAGCGUUGUCCGGAAUUAUUGGGCGUAAAGAGCUCGUAGGCGGCUCGGUAAGUCGGAUGUGAAACCUCCAGGCUCAACCUGGAGACGCCAUCUGAUACUGCCGUGGCUUGAGUCCGGUAGAGGAGCAGGGAAUUCCUGGUGUAGCGGUGAAAUGCGCAGAUAUCAGGAGGAACACCGAUGGCGAAGGCAGGUCUCUGGGCCGAUACUGACGCUGAGGAGCGAAAGCGUGGGGAGCGAACAGGA
rnacentral:rRNA from 1 species